UCUAAUUCUCUUCUACUAAUAAUCAUUUUCAGAUUUAAUUUUUUUUACCUCAAGAAAAUUUUCUGUGAACAUUUCAUUCACAAGGAUUUCUACGAUGGAUAAAAGGAUUAUGGGUUAUGCACAUCAAAUUUCUCUGAAUAAUAUUCAAGGUAAAUUCAACCGACGAAGAUUAAGCAAUUCUAGCGAACCUAUCUACUCCUAAAUAUUGAAGGACGCACAGGAAAACAGAGGAAAAUUAAGCAUGACACUUACUUGAAGGGGGAAAUACGUGAACCCCGUGGACAUUAUGCAAUCGGAGAAGAAUUGAAUGUUUUUUAUUGAGAAAUGUUAAUCCAUUAGCCUUCGCACGGUAAAUGGAAAUAGGAGAGCUAGGAUGGCACAUUGCUCAUUUUGUGUUAGUAAUUUUUACAAGUACCCCUUUUAAUAAACUUAUUUUGAAUUUAAUAUAGGAAAGUGUCUUAAAGUUAUGAUUAAAAAAGUCAUACUAUGGAUACGAUUGUCUUUGUAGAUUAAAAAAAAAAAAAAAAAAAAAUUGAAUCAUGAAGGAAUUCCAGGAAACACAUUAGAAACUUUAAAAA